UAAAGCUGGAAUAUCUUGGGUCCCAUCCUUAUCCGAAGGAGGCAACCCGUCCGGUAUGGUCUCGAACACAAAGUCCGGUAGACCCUUAACGGAGUCGGGACCGUUUGACCGGAUUAAACGGUUGUGGUUGAACUCGGUGUUGACAAAGGUUAUGUGGAAGCCCCUUGAGUGAAGAAGCUUGGCUAGCUGCAUCAUGGGGUUAACAUGGCCUUGUGCUGGGUAUGGGACAAAAACUGCAUGCCCUUUUUUGGUUGCUUGUUCUACUGAACUCAUCAUCUCUCUUUCGUAUUUGCCAAAAACUUGGAAAGAGCUCAUCAGUUUUGAAGUCUUUAGUCUUUGUGUAGUGAAAGCUAACUUGACCUUGUGCUAUUUAUAGAAAAUGCGGGGCAACCUUCUCGGAGAGAACUCAAUUCAGUGUUUUUUUUGCUUUGGGUAAAUUACAUAGUAACCCCUCAGGUUUGAUGUUUAUUACAACCCCAUACAACAUCUUUAAAACAUUUCACUUUCAUACCUCAAGUACUACUUUAUUUCAAUAUAAUACAUCCGUUAGAUUUUCUAUCCAUUAAUCUGUUAAAUGCUGACGUGGCUGCCAAAUGUGUGCCACGUGGCAAAAAAAAACAGCAAAUUUUUUUUAAGAUUCAGGUUUUCAAAAAAAAUAAAAAUUAUUUUGUUGGCCACGUGGCACACAUUUGGCCACCACGUGGCACACAUUUGGCAGCCACGUCAGCAUUUAACGGAUUAAUGGAUGGAAAAUCUAACGGAUGUAUUAUAUUGAAAUAAAAUAGUACUUGAGGUAUGAAAAUGAAAUGUUUUAAAGAUGUUGUAUGGGGUUGUAAUAGACAUCAAACCUAAGGAGUUACUAUGUAAUUUACCCUUUUUCGUUUCACUUUAUAGUAUUCAAAUUAAAAAAUGAUAAAUAUAUUCAUUUUUUUCCGCACUCUUCAAUUUGAUAGUUAUAAAUAAAGAAAAGCACGUAAAAAAAAGUGGUGAUAAAUUCACCCUAUUUUUUAAUAAAAAAUUUAGAGAUGUCGGGUCAAAUUAUCUCUACAUCACGUGAAUUUGAUAAUUGAAUAAACUUUGAUUGGAAAGAACCGAACAGAGCAUAUUCCCAAAAUUUUGUUCUGAAGCUCCAUUUUCAAACUUGGAAAAAAAGUGAAACCGAAAAGACAAGAGGUGUAAAAGAAUCUGCUUUGGCUUGUCUCUAAUCACGCUAGUUGUCCUUUUCUUCCCUCCCCUUUAUUUUAUCUCCCUGAACUUUUCUCUACCUCUGUGUCACUUCUUUCUUCCUCCAUCUAUAACACCACCAUUUCAUUUAUGUUCAUGUCCUCUCUCUCUCUCUCUCUCUCUCUCUCUCUCUCUCAAAUUUCACACUCCGUUUUUGAAGGUGUCUAAUCAUUUGAUUUUAGAUUUUUGCAAGUGCAAGCAGAGGAGGAAGGGAGGAUGGAGGGAUAUAUUGUAGCAUAUAUAUUAAGGAAAACUAAUAAAAAUGGCUUGAAAACUUUGAGUUUUAAUGAUAAGGACAAAAUAAAGGGUAAAGUGAAUAGUAUCAGGAUUGACUUUUUAGUGUAAAAAUGUGGUUUUUUCGUUAAAAUGAACAGUACCGAAUGCUUUUCGUUAAAGUUCCCGGGUGAGAUUAUAAUGUGGAUGGAAAGAUAAGACAUUAGGUGGGUUUAGUCAACUCCUUUUUCAAAUGUCAUAACAAGAAACUUUUGUCAAAUGUCCAAUGUUUGCUGGAAAUUAUUUUAUUCACACACCUUUCUAUUAGUCUAAUUAUCCAAAAAAGAGUGUUAAACAUGUUGCUUGCGGGAGAGUAUUUUGGAAUUGGCAUGGUCGAUUUCUUGGUCGUUGCGUGCUCGGAUGACUUUGUCCCUCUUUGGUUGGAAUAUGGUUCUUUCCUUGUUUGUACCCUUGGCCUCUUAAUUUGUACACACUUGUUAAAAGUUGCUUGGCAACUAUUUUCUGUUUUAAUUUUAUAUGAAACUUUGAAAUGAAUUUUUUUUAAAGCUGAUGUUGUCAAAUUGAGGUUAUAGAAUGAAAUGGCAUGUGCUUUGGUGAAUUUUGAGAUGAUAGGUCAUGAGGCUAGUUUCAUGGUUUGAGGGCUCGGAUCGGAUCCAUUGUCAUUGCAAGAGUCGAGUGACCGUGUCCAUAUCGGAAUGCCCCAUAUACAAGGUUUUGAUAUGGAAGUGCAGUGCAUGUUUUGUUACGUAUGAUUGAUUAAUGAGAAAGAAGAGGGAGAAACAAUAAAAACAAAAACUAAAGGACGUGAAUGUAGAGAUUUAAAAUUUGACAUGAUUUUAAAAUUAGAAAAAAGAAGACUUAAAAUGGCUACAAAACAAGUUUCCUUUUAGCACAAGGGAAAUUCAAAAUAAAAAAGUCGAAAUAAAAAGAUUUAAACGGUUGUCACUCAGUACUACCGUCUUGUGGUAGUCUUUUUCAUUUUGAAGUGAGAGGUCUUAGGUUCAAAUCAUGUGAAUGGCGAAUUCGAUACCAAAUUAGGCUACCUAUAGUGUGACUUAGCUAAACUUCAUCUCCUCUUAGUGUAAAAAUAUCGAUGUAAUAAAAAAAAAAGAUUAUUAAAUGUUUGGAUAGCUAUAUCAGGAAUAACUAACAAUCCUAACGGUCAAAACUCAUCUCUGCUUUUCUCUUAUGUACUAACUAAAAAUGUUUUGAAAUUAAGAACUCCAUUCAUCUCAUCCUCUUUGUCUUCUUCUUGUCUUCCUAUUCGCAUAAGCCAACUUCCGGACCAUCUCAUCAAUAUUCAUACCAUUAUUGGUAUAUCGCUUUUCUCUUUUGUUUUUUUUUUUGUACCCAAGAUAAUUAUUGAAUACAAACAAUGAGAAAUUCUAUUCAAACUUAUGUGUUCCUCAUUGACGUUACGCAGCUUUAGCACAACUGGAAUCGAUCCUCACCCCAGCUUCACGUAUUCGCCUCUCUUUCUUAAUACUGAAACUACCCACUCUAAGUCUGCCCGAGUCCAGCAGACUCUAAAAAAGUAAAGGCAGGCGAAUGUAGAAUGAUUAGUGGGAGAGGCUUUGGCUAGAGUGCGGGCAUAAGCUACUCCUUCCAAGAACUCCAGGUUGGGUGCCCAAAGCUUGGGGAAGUACCAUGGCAGCUAUAGCUGGACCAUUCAGGUUGGCUUGUUGAGGUUGGUUUCGAAAGGAGUGCCUCGGGUCAUCUCAUAAAGAAAGGGGCUUGUGGCCACAUCAUCAGAAUUGUGUAGAGCUUCCACCAAAGGGGUCCAUUUAACUUUUACUCCCUUGGACUUAUUAGGGAAGACGUGCUUGUUGAGCCAGUACAACAAGAAGUACAUAUGUUCUUGGUUGUUGUUGGCGUUGAAAGAGGAAGAGCUAAAAUUCUUCUUGACAAACGGGAUAAAACUCGUGAAGGAAAUCCCAUAACUCUUGAAAGUAUAAAAGUUGUAAUCCACGGGAAGGAGGAGACCAGUCGUGAGUGACAUUUAUGACUCUACUCGAAGGCCUCAGCCCAAAGACUUGGGCCAUGUCGAGGAUAGUCGGGGACAUGGGACCCAUCCUGAAAUUGAAGGUAUUGGUGCCCGAAUUCUAGAAAAUGAGAGUUGUGGUCAGCAGUUCAGGCUUGGCAAUUACAGUAGUCUUGGAUAACAUAAUUAGCUCGUAUAUGCCGUUGUUCAUCCACUUCUGCUUGAAGGUAGGCUCGAGCUCGUUUAUCCAUUGCGUCCAGCCUUCAUCCUUCAUUGAAGGAAAGCUGCGACAGUGGUUCGACCACUUGGUUGUCGAAAUGCCAGCCUUGGCAAAAAAUGGGUUUGGGGUGAACCAAUUCGCCUUGGGCAUGUUGCUUUCCACGGCAAUGGGUAUCUUGGAGGUCCAUGCAAGCCCCAAGGAGUGCACUCCUCCCCCUCUUCAAAGAAAAGUGAGGUCUGAAGGCCAGCCCGAGGGUGAUGAAGGCCGUUGAGCAAACAAGCAUAGUGGCAAUCCCCUCACUAGUCUCGCAGGAAUGAGUUCAAGUAACUUUGGGUGCCAUUGGAUGAUUUUAGGAAAGAUAGAAGAAAUUCGAAGGCAUAAAGCAAGAAGGAGUAGAGAAUAAGAGAGUACUAAGAAAGUUGGAAAAUCUGGGAAGUUCUAGAAAUUUGAAGGUUUAAGAUUUCUAAGGUACUUGGCCGAAGGGUUUAAGUGAGGAUUAUAUAGUAGACGAUUAUUUAACGUUUAAAAUUGUGGGUUAGUGCAAAGGUUUAGUUAACAAACGAUUGUUUUAAAAUGGUGCAAGUCCCGAGUAAAAGUAUGUGACGGUUGUUUAAUCAUCAUUAACGCCUCGAUUUACAGACUCAAUAAUGAUUAAAGGGGGCACUGUUUGAGUUAAUAUUUGAAUAUUGGGCUUGAAAGAAAUAAAGCCCAAAGAUGCCAAUUCAAGGAGACUUGCCUGAAACCCAGCAUUGAGCCUAGAGAUAAAUUAAAGCCUUCUCAGCCAGGAUACAAGUUGUGUGUCUAUAAUUGAAGUGACGAGUGAUGAAGACUAACCUACUAUUAGCCAAAUAACACUUUUCAGUGGCAUUGCUAGUAAAAAGUUGAUGACUCACUACCCUCCAAGGGCUUUCGGGCAAGAGUAAAAGCUACAGCAGUCGGGCCAAAUUGUCUAUAAAAGUGAAGACAGGCCCCAGAGACAAGGACACUCAACCAAUCAACAUACAAACUCUGCUCUUAAGCCAGAUAUGCAUUUAAAUCUGAAAUCAACCCAGAUUCAGUCAUUUUAGCGAUAGUUCUUUAGAAAAGCUAUCUCUUGUUUAGUUUAAAAGCUCUGUUAUCCCCCUCAGUGGUGUAGUAUAGAUUCCCUCGUGCAAACUUGUUUACCAUCCAUCAUUUUUUUAGCAUAUACACCCCUGUAAAUUCAAAGAGAAGUAACUGCAAGAGGUUCAAACUUGCCAGACAAGGUGAAAUUUGCCCGAGUCUCUUUGUUUGUUCUCUAAAUUAGUAGAUCUAGUGCUUAAUGUACUUUUCAACAUAUAUUCAAGUCAUUUCCACUUGUUUUGCUAUUUUGAGAGUCCUAUUUGCAUCUGGAUCUGGUUAGCUUAAAGGAUAUGUCAUCAUUAACAGUGAUCUGGGACCAAACAAAUUACUUAAGGGGCUCUGGACUCCCUCCAUUCGAACAUACAAGAUCAUGAACUAAAAGUCCUUGUUUACAAGGCAAGAAAAAGAACUUAAUACAAACUUAACUCAUCUAUGACAAUCCCUUUGAUAACAAGAAGUUUGAGUAACUUGGGGCGCAAGUAAUCAACUUAAAACACACUUGUUCUACAUCUACUAUACUGAGAUAGCAGUGGCAUGCCUUACACUUAGUUAGUUUUGAUUGUGAGCCUCAAGACCUACACCUAAGGCCCCACAAAGACACCUUUCAGAAUUAAUUUUGUUCUCUUAUUGUAGCAUCUCAACAAGUAAGAGUCCGACUACACAUUCAAAGUGCCAAUCUCUUGGGAAGCUGUGCUGAGAUCCAAGGAGCCUUCUCCAAAGAAAUCUUUGCCUUAACACACAUAUUAAUUAACCCAACUCAUUUGAAGUCGCCACCACCAAAACAUGUUCAUAUUGUUCGGUUUAGUAGUAGAUCGAUCGUGCCCAUAUUCGAGUUUGUAUUAAUUAAUAAUGGUAAACUCAUAUUUGCUAGCUUCAUGCAUGUUUCGUAUCAUUGAAUUUGAUUACCGACAAAAUCACCGACAUGCUACACUGAAAAAACAGAAGAUCGCACAACUAGUUGUGAUCACAUGUAUUUGCUCUAUCAUGUCUUAAAAAACACCAUUCCCUUACCGUACACUGUCUUUCCGUACUUCAUAGGACGUGGGAAAACGCGUUUUGCAAAUACUAAUUUUGUAAAGUAAAUACAUAUAUAUACGAUAUGAUACCGUGCAUGCAUUAAUGCUAAUUUUCAUUUUAUUUUAAUUUAGUCACCGACGAUCCUGUUUUGAUCAGUCUAUAAAAUACUAAAUGGAAGCCUGCUUAUUCAAGAAAGUGAAAGAACUUGAGAGUUUGUCUGGUAACAAGUAUAGAAAAAUCGAUCCGAGGGUUUAAUUUACAGAGAAAUUAUAAUGGUGCCUCUUUUCUGGCAUCGUUUCUUGUUCGUUUGUAUAGUUUUGGAGGGUAUUAUCCUCACCAAUGUUGAAGCCAAUGGAUGGAUUAGUGGUCAUGCAACUUUCUACGGGACCAACCAAGACCCAGCCACCCUUGGUAACUCACUUUUAUUUUGAUGAGAAAAUAAUGUUUUUAACUUGUGUAACUCUACUACUUAUUUCUUUAUUAUUUUGCCAGAGUUGUUUGUCGACGCUUUAAAAAAGUGAUAAUGCACUCCUCCAUGAAUGUUCUCUUUCAUGCUUUCACAAAUGAGGAGUGCAAUAUAACUUUUCGAGUGUGCCAAUAAUAUGUUUUCUUAUUAAUUUCUAAUUAUGUAUUCUAAAAAUGUCAUUCUGCCCCACAUCUUUUCUUUUAUAUCCGUUUAUAUACCUAAUAUGUUAUAGGACUGUUAAUAACAAAGGUGCAAAUUUUAGCGCGAGUUAUAAUUUUUUUAUUAACUUUUGCGUACUUGACAUAUGCUCGAAUUGGUUGAUAUGGGCACACCAUUUUCCUUUUGUUUGUGCAAUACGCAGUGACCAUCACUUAAAAUUUUCAAUUAAAAUUGAAUAUUAAUAAUAUUGUCAAUGAUUGCUGGUCUAGUGACAUGCAGUCUUGCUUCACUUUGUUGUAAGAGAUUUUGAUUCAAAUCUCAUAUGCUAUAGUUCAAAGUUUAAAGAAACGAAAUCUUAAGAACAAUAUUGUUGAUUUACAUCAAGUCUACGUAGGUGGUGCUUGUGGUUACGAUAAUACCAUACAUUCGGGGUUUGGAGUGAACACAGCCGCCGUGAGUAGCACACUUUUCAGAGGAGGUGAGGCGUGUGGGGCUUGUUACCAAGUAAUGUGCAACUACAACACAGAUCCAAAGUGGUGCAUUCGAGGUCGUUCUGCGAUGGUUUCCGCCACCAAUUUCUGCCCCCCAAACAACAACGGAGGGUGGUGCAAUUUUCCCCACAACCACUUUGACAUGUCCAUGCCUGCUUUUCUUCGCAUUGCCCGACAAGGCAAUGAAGGCAUAGUUCCUGUCAUUUACAGAAGGUAGCAACAAUAUUUUAUGGCUAAAAUACAUUAUUAGACAACAUAACAAUUCACGAGUUUAUAGCCAGUGCCCAUUCAAAAGUCCUAAUAUAAUAAAUCCCAACAUGCAUGCACUAUUUCCGGCGAACAUAUGCUUGAGGUCUAAUAAAGAAAAUUAUAUAUAUAUAUAUAUAUAUAUAUAUAUAUAUAUAUAUAUAUAUGAAAAAGGAGACUCGAACUUGUGCAAUCUUAAUUGUUGAGUUAUAAUCCAAUUUAAUUUACAUUAUUGAUCGAUGUGUUGAAUUGAUAUAUUAUGAAAUCUGCUGUUGGUAGUCCAAAAAUAUUAUUAUACCGCACUUCUCUUUUAUCAAAGCAUAAGAGAGAAAAUAUACAUGAAUAACGCAUGAUGACAUUUUUAGACUAUUAAUAAUUGCUCCCUAUGUUAUAGAUAUUGUAACUUUCAAGUAAUUUUUGGUGUGACGGUAGUCUGAAACAUUAUAACGAACCUUGAUCAUCCUCUUUGCAAUUAAUGUGUGUAUGGACUAAAGAGUGUCCUGCAAAAGAAGAGGCGGAGUCCGAUUCACCUUGAAGGGACAGUCGAGCUUCAACAUGGUGAUGAUCUCCAACGUCGGCGGAAGCGGGGACGUGAAGGCUGCGUGGAUUAGGGGGUCGAGGAUGAGAAGAGGAACGUGGCUGGCGAUGCACAGGAAUUGGGGUGCAAUGCAAAGCGUGGCAUGCACAGGAAUUGGGGUGCAAAUUGGCAAAGCAGCGUUGACCUUCGAAGCCAGAGACUCUCUUUUAAGCUCACACUGGUUGAUGGAAGAGCACUUGUAUUUUCUAAUGUGGUUCCUUCCACUUGGGGAUUUGGACAAACAUUUUCAUCCCGCAACCAGGCUUGAUCUUAUGUACGAAUAAUUAACUAAUUCAUCAAAACAAGUUGGGAAACAUUAUUGUAUUUGUAUGUUUAUUCAACCUUAGAUAUUAAUAAUUAUAUUAUUACAACUGCAUUUCUUCUUUUGAAUUUUUAUGUACAAAGUUGCAACAUCAAUGUUCACCUGGUUGUGGUUUACUAUACAAAUGUCAUAAAAUCUUAUCCUAUAAGUUGAAUUUAUAUAUGGAAAACAAUAAACAAUAAAUACUUAGAGUUAUCACGUUCCAUUUUAGCCUAAAUAUGGUAGUUAUUACGACAUUCAUGACUUAUCUGUUAUGCAUGAAUCUGAAGCAUAUCGCUUCGUCCACAUGGAGGAUUUGCAUUUUGUACCUGGAAAAUCAAGGUGUAAAGCUCCAAGACUCACAAACUUCCAUUACUAUCAUAUGGACCUCUAUGUUCAAGUCCUUGAUACACAAUUAAAGGAAUUGAAUGAUCGCUUCAAGGAGGUAAACACCGAGUUGCUUCUUUGUAUGGCAUGUUUGAGUCCCGUGAAUAAUUUUGCAUCUUUUGCCAAAGCAAAAAUUGUUCGUCUAGCUCAACUUUAUCCUCAAGAUUUUGAUCGUAUAGACCUCAUGAAUCUUCCAAUUCAACUUGACAAUUACAUUCACAAUAUAAAGAUGCAUAGUGAGUUUUCAUCAUUAAGAGGAAUUGGUGAUCUUGCAAAGGAGUUGGUGAAGACCGGGAGGUGUGCAAACUACAUAUUAGUGUAUAAGCUUCUUACAUUGGUUUUGGUGUUACCGGUUGCAACCGCUUCAGUGGAGAGAGCUUUUUCUGCUAUGAAGAUUGUGAAAACACCAUUGUGUAACAAAAUGGGAGAUCAAUGGUUGAGUGAUAGUAUGCUUGUUUACAUUGAGAGAGAUGUAUUUGCUUUUAUUGAUAAUGAGCCUAUUAUGCGACGAUUUCAUGAUAUGAAACCUCGUCGGCAACAAUUGUAAUUUGUUUAUAUUGAUAAAUUAUGGAAGACAUUACUAUAUAAAAUGAUUUGGUUGUUGCUAUUAUUUUGAACCUUGCACUCUUUUAACUUUGCCCCUUCUCCCGUCAAUUUUUGGCUUUGCCACUGUAUGGAUCCUACUUAAAACUGGCCACCAAACCUCUUACUUUUCAAAAAAGACAACAUUCUAUAAGAGGUAUUGCCAAAAAUAAAAAUUCUAAAAAUUGUUGUAUUGUUGUUACUUCGAUCCAUUAGGCUCGCUAGAUGAGAAUUGGCUCCACUUUUCAUACCUUGCCCACAAUUAUUUGAUCCCCUACAAAGUAAGUGCUAAAAAAUUUCAUGGUAGUUUGUUCAAUGCUAGAAAAAAUUAGUGGAGGGACUUACGAAAAAAUGAAACAUUGUUUUUAACAAGAAAAUUUUAAGAUUAUAUACAACAAAACUUGGGCUCUAUUCAGUUUGGAAUCUGCCGUAUGACAUUGUUGCGAAAUAUACAUAUUCCGCUUUUAAAAGAGAAAGUCUUAAUUACAGCGGCAAACGCAAAAAAAUUAUCUACCUCUCAAUUAGUUUGUAUUUGUAAAUUUCAUUUUCAAGUUUUGUGGAUGCAGAUAUGCACUAAACAACAUACUAAGUCUAAUAUUUGGGAAUAAGAAUCGGAUGUAAUUAAGUUUGUUUGAUAAUAGUUACAUCUAGUCAUGUUGGUGGUAAGUCUUUUGAGUUUAGUGACACCUAUUGUUUUUUAUUUAUAAUUUGCUUGUGUUUUUGUGACAAGGUACAAACUUUAAAGAAAUCCUUAAACCAAAAAUUAAGACUCAAUAAAAAAAAUCAAGGCCAACUUCGUUAAUCUAAUAGCUAUCAUAUUGACAGAUUUAUAUGUGUGACAAGUAGGAGAAGAAACAAAAGAACCCAACCAUAUAAUUCCAAAGCCAAAAGAACUUCAAUUAUGACAACUAGAAAUUGAAUUGGUUCAUCUCGAUACAUGGGGAUAACUAAGGGUGGAAAAAAAAUACCGAAUAUCCCAAACCAAACCGAAAAAUUCCCAAAACCAAACCGAAAAUCCCGAAACGUUCGGUACUCAAUACCAAACCAAAUCGAAAUUUUUGGUACGGAAUUGGUUUCAAGUUUUUGGUUUUUCGGUAUUCCCAAACCGAACCGAAAUAAAAAAUAUAUAUAUUAUUUAAUUUUUAAAUAUAUAUUUGAAAUUGUAACAGCCAUCGGAUUCAGUUGAGAUUUAAUCUCAAUCGUUCAAUAGAAAUCAAACCCUACACUUACACUCUAUCUCUCCCGUCUCUCUCGACACUCAGUUCUCACUCACUUUCUCUUGCGGCUCGCCUCAAACUUAAACCCUCACCUCACCACCCUCGUUGCCGAAUUGUCUUUCCGUUUUCGAAUCCUGCCACACAAGUGACUCACCUAAGUCACAUCUCUCUCAACUAUCACCUUUCUAAUCUCUCUCUCAGUCUCUCUCGACUUCUCAUCCCUCACAGAGUCACAGUGGAGAAGCCUUCCUUCACGAAUCACGGCCACCGGCCCCGUUCUUCUUCUCAAUCUCUCAGUCUCUCAGUCUCUCUCGAUUCCAGUUAUCCAGUGUACUGUGCAAUUCUCCUCCAAUUCAGGUAAAGUUCACAAGCUAAUUUAGGGUUGGAAUUCGAGAUUAGGGUUUGUGAAAUUUAGCACUUAGAAGAUCGAGUAGACUGCAUACUGAGGGUUUAGGGGUUGAAUUGGUGAUUGAAAGUCGAGAUUAGGGGUUCCCUUUUGUCACAUACUCACAAUUGAAGCAUAAAUUUGUUACAGGUUGAUAGUUGAUAGUUCAUAGUUGUAGCAAUAAUUGCAGCUGCUGAAAUGAAUUUCGAGAGUUGGAGUAAAUUGAUGAAUUAAGUUCAGAAUUAACCUUGGGAUUUUGGGAUGUUUGUAAUGCAACACCAUAAAUGUAUUUACAGUUUGUUUAGUUGUUCUUUUAUAUAUGAAGAUGUAGUUGUUCUUUUAUAUAUGAAGAUGUAGUUGUUCUUUUAUAUAUGAAGAUGUUGAACUGAUGAACUGUCAAAUACCCACAUAAUUGCACGUCAUUAGGUUAAGGAAUCUUCAAUUGCAAUGCUAGAUCAUAUAUCUUUCCUCAGUUGUUUUGUUGUUAUUUUUGGCCAGGCAAAAUUGGGAGUCUGGUAGAAAACGUCUCUGCCCCAUCGAAUUCAACACUUCACUUCUUUUAAGUGCCUCAUCGAACGUCUCUGCCUAUAUAAACAGUACGGUUGCAACAGUUGCUUUGAUAAUACUAUUUCUUAGUUUUCUUUCUUAAAAACAUUAGUUAGAUAUGAAUAAUAUGAAUUCUCCUUAUGAAUAGAUGGCUCUUUAAUUACGUUUCCUCUUUAUAUAUAUGAAGCUAGUCCUACACUUAAGGAGAAAAGAAAAUUUUCGAUUACAUUUUGUACUGUCCUAGUCCUACUUUAUUAAUGGAAUCCUUGUAAUAGGAAUACACGCCCUUUUCUUUUGAUGUUGUUGGCUACCUUGUGUAUAUAACGUUUGCAAAUUGACACUAGGAGGUCUUUCACUAACAAGUAGGGAGCAACCACAACCAUCAGCAAGAUCAAGGGCCGAAGGGGCCGAAGAUGCCAACAAUCUUCAUAAACUUUGAGCUUUUCAUUUUGCUUUUGGUUUGUAACGUAAUUUAUUUUGAAACUUUGGUUUGUAACUAAUUUUUUUGCUUUUGGGUUUGUUACUUAAUUUAUUUUGAAACCUUGGCUUGUAAUUAAGUAUUUUGCUUUUGGAUUUUUUACUUAAUUUUUUGUUGUUGCAUGCAUGUGUAGUAGAAUAGGCAGAUUAGAUUGGAUAUUGUGAGUAUGGGAUAUGUGCAAGAUUUUGGUUUGAUUUUAUUUCUAUAGAAUAACUUGAUCACUUCCUUCAUUCAUGCUUGGGAACUAUAGAUAUGCAGAUUGGCAGCACACUACACAGCAGCACAAGCAAGUUAUUAUAGCCCAAAAACUGAAAAGCCCAAAAUUAUUUCUGGAUUCUCGAUUUGUCCCGAAAUCCUGAAACUAUUUUGGGAAUCCCGAAAAUUUGGUUUGGGAUUGGUCUUGAAAUUGGGAAUCCCGAAAAUUUCGGUUUUGGAAUCGGCACAAUGUUUUUGGUUUGGUAUCCCAUACCGAACUAGCCCCAGGGCCGGCCCAGGCCCAAUGAUGGCAGGGCAACCGUCCGGAGCUCAAAGUAAUUGGGGGCACCAAAAUUAUUAGGGUAGUAUAUUUAUAUAUGUUUUCAUUAGAGUAUAAAUUUUUAAAAUUUAUGGUUCAAUGACAAAGAAAUUUAACUAGAAUUGGUGGUUUUGUUGUUUGAAUUUAAUGAGAGGUCUUGGGUUCAAAACACCAUGUGUGCUUAUUUACUUUUCAAUUUUUACAAAUUUCUUUUCAUAAGGGUAUAAAUAUAUAAAAUUUGGCUAAAUGAUCAAGAUGUUUAAUUAGAAUCAAUGUUUUUUUUUGUUUAAAAUUAACGAGAAGUCCUAAGUUCGAAAUGCUAAAUGCAUGUUUAUUCUUUUCAAUUUUUACGAAUUUUUGUUUGGUUGUUAAUUUAUUUUUAAUUAGUAGCUAGUAGCUAUGUGGGUUGUUAUUUUUAAACAUUUGUUCCAAUUCAAGUCUAAUAUUCAACGAAGAGUAAUGCGUUGACCAAAUUUUUAGACUAAAUUUUCAAAUUAUAUAACGUGUCAUCAAAAAGUUUAAUUUAAUACGCAUUUAAUACUUAUACAUAUCAAUUAAACACUCAAAAACAUAAUUAUUUUUUUAGUCCCAUAUUGACAAAGUUAGUAAAUAAGAAAAAAAGACCUCACGAUUUAUACAAAAACACUUUAAAAAUUCAGAUUGAAAACAAAACUCAUAUCUAUCUACUUGUAAACCCAGAGUUUUUUUGUUUGUUUCUCACGAUACAAAAUAAAUUAGUUUUUCUGUGUUUCUAAUUUAUUAAGUUUGAAGUGUUUUUCUAAAUAUAAUUUUAUCGAUGUUUUACGUGUGAAAACAAAUAUUUUUCUUAUAUAAAAUGAGGACACAAUUUUUGACGUCAUCCCUGACCUCAAAAAUCUCUAGACCGGCUCUAAGCCCUAGGGAUAACGCACAAAACCGCAACAUAACUAAUUAAGGAACACUCUUUGAAUACAAGUGAUGACCAUCGAGUGUAUGACACUUAAUGUAAAAAUUAAAUAUUUAUUUAAAUUGGUACGGAAAAAUCAACACUAAAGUAUAAUGUGACCUUCAGUGAAUAGAACUUAGGUAAGUUUAGGAGGGAGAAGACUAGAAGAAAAGAUAAGAUCAAUUUAUUAUAUUUUUAUCAUCUAUUUGUACUCUUAUUUAUAAAGUACGAUAAUUGUUUUUUCGUUAAUUUAGUCAUUCCGUUAAAAUUUUCAAUAUUUUUUGUUAGUGUGCUGAAGUGGUCCCAAUAAUCCAAUCUUCAAAUUCUUUUUCAUUUUUGUUAAAUGAUAGAUUUGUUAGAUUAGGUGUUGGAUUAGAGAGAUUUGUUAGUCAAAUUCUAUUUGUUUACGAUAAUUUGAAGAGUAAAAUUUAGGGAACUUUAACGAAAAGCACCCGGUACUGUUCACUUUAACGAAAAACCACAUUUUUACACUAAAAAGUCAAUCCUGUUACUAUUCACUUUACCCUUUAUUUUGUCCUUAUCAUUAAAACUCAAAGUUUUCAAGCCAUUUUCAUUAGUUUUCCUUAAAAUUUAUUAAUCAAAGCUUGCCCACUGGAAUUUAACUUAGAGUGGGCUGCAGAUCCGUAGUAUUGGGCCUGUAAGCCCAUGUAAAUCUUAUCACUCAUCAGAAGAAAAUACAGAAACGUAACCACUGUAUUAGCUCUCCGCCUCCAUCAUCGUCUAAAUUCGCUUCUUUCCCUCUCUCUCCCUGAACAGCAAAAUGGGUAAAGAUCGAAACGGCAGCGUUUCAGAGGGACGAAGUAGGAGCUCGGAGAAAGAGGAGAGACGAAGCAGAAGCUGCGAGAAAGCGGAAGAAACCGAAAGAAAAUCCGAGAAAGCGCGAGAAAUUUCGGAUUCCGAGUCCGGAGAAGACAGGUAGCGCAGUAAAUACAGGAGAAAAGCGCGGGAAAGCUCUGAGUCCGGCGAUGAAAAGCACGUGAAAAGGAGGAGGAGGCCGCGGAGGCGGUACAGUAGCGAGGAGGAUACGGAUUCGGAGUCCGAGUCGGAAUCGGAGGAGAGCGGCUCGGAUUCGGAGUCGGAGUGUGAUAGUGGUAGUGAGAGCGACGGCGACAGGAGACGGAAGAGGAGGAAAAGGAGAGAGAAAGCUGAUGAUAGAGAAAGGAAGAGGAGGAAGAGAGAGAAGGAGAAGGGGAGGAAAAGGAGGAGGAGAGAGAAAGAGGAAGAGAGGAAGAAGAAGGAGAAGAGAAAGAAGAAGAGGAAGGAGAAGAAGGAGAAAGGAAAGGCAGGAGUGGUGACGAAUUCGUGGGGUAAGUAUGGGAUUAUCAGAGAAACUGACAUGUGGUAUGUUUGCUGAAUUUUAUACUGUUUUAGGGUUUUAAGUUUCUGUUUGGCUGCUGAGAAAAUGUAGGAAAAAGAAGUUUACUUCUCCCACUUGAAUUUGAUGAUUACUGUUGUGUAUAGGAACAAACGACCAAAGUUCACAGCAUGGUUACAGGAAGUAAAACAGGUAAUUCCUUUUCCAACUAUUUUACCACCCCAUGAAACCAUUAAUUUGCGUAGUGGUUUAUUUCAGUCGUAAAGUUUCUAAGAUUAUAGAGUUUACCUUUUGAUUUGUAUGUGUUUCGAAGCCGUGUGUUGAUCCGUUUCCAAAUUGCAGUCGUCGAUAGUUCUAAUGGUAAUUGUGUCAUCUUUCAUUAGGUGAACCUGGAACAUCUUGCAAAUUGGGAAGAGAAGCAAAUGUUCAAACAGUUAGUGCGUGUGGAUGUGCGGAUGCAUUUAGUUUAUUUUCUCCCAAAGCAUCUAUAUAAUGAAUUUAACAGGAAUUUGCUAGGUAUUUUCCUUCUAACUUUUGUAUCUUACAAUCUGAGUAGAAAUUUGUUUCCAUUUUAAUAGGUUCAUGGAAGAUCACAAUACAGCCACCUUUCCUUCAAAAAAGUAAGCUUCUAUUCUAUUAGCUUGGGUCAUUUCAAUUUAUUUGUCUGAAAAGAAAAAGUUACAAAGCUUUGUUCUUGCUGUUGUGGUGAGGUUGUGGAACUCACCUUUUAGGUAGAAAUUUUAUCUUAAUGUGCUUAACCACCUGAAUUACGCUAGGCCUAAUGAAAUGAUAUGCUAUUUUAUAUAGAUCUGUCUCGAUAUUUUUGAGCCUGCGGUUGUGGUGUAGACACCUUUCUCUUAGGAUUUAGAGGAGAAUGCAAUGUGUGUUUGAUCUAAUUUUAGUGAAAUAUCCUUCUUGACUGUGUGAUAACUGUGUGAUUGAUCAUAGUGUAUAACCAAUAUACUGUGUGAUUCUUUCAAGUGUUGUUAUCAUAACUGUGUGAUUGAUCAUAGUGUAUAACCAAUAUACUAGACAGCCGUUGUGGUGCCAGAUUUUGAAUCAAUAUCUGUGAUUAGGUUUACUUGUGUCUGAAUGUGCGAUUUUGGCUCACAAUUUGGCAGCAGAACAUGCCUGUUUUGUGUUAAUUAGAGAUGGAAACAAUGGGGAGAUAUUAUCUGAAAUUAAAAAGAAUUGUGUGCUUUGAAUUUUACACGCCUAACCUUUUCUCUGUUGGUUGUAAGGGUUCGUAAGGGUGAGAAUGAUUGUAUGUUCUCACUUUUUCUGUUUUUUUUUUUUACUUGUUAGAUUCAUCUUCAAGUAAUACCACAGAAUGACAAUUAAUUACUUUAACCUUUGUGGUUGCAGGUACUACAGCCUUGAUGAUUAUUACAGGAAUAAGAUGGAAAAGGAAAUUAAAAGAGGUUUUAAGAAGGUUGCGCCAACAGAAUGUAUUGUAUUCAACAAUGAGGAACAGAAAAGGUAUUGUUUUUAUUGCUAUCUGAUUUAAUUUAUGGCCUAGUUUUGGCAAUAUUCAGUUUUAGUACAUUCAUAUGAUUUCCAUUGAUAGCUAACGUGUCAACAAUUCACUCCACAUUUUGUCUAACAACUGUACUAUGUACAAUGACAAAAAUUUAUAUUUCACCUGGCUGUACUUAUUUAAUAGUAUUUUGGAGACAAAAGGAAAUAAUGUUCGGGCAACUUUUUAUAUACAAGAUAGGAGAAACAUAAAACCAUUUUGGAUCUGUUGACAUUCUUGGGUUUGGCUAAUAAUAUUAUAUUAUAUAUUGGUAUUCAGACAAGAAAUGAUGCGAAUGUGUGAAAAGCAAAAGGAAGAAGUAGAGGCUCUGAAGCGCUCUAUGCAGAGUGGACUGGUAAAUUUCUGUUUCGUUACUCAUAUGAAAACAUUCAAUCUGUUGUACAUAAACUCCGUUCCAAGUCGAAGUUGCACUUUGUCAUCCUUCGAUUCCAUUAAAAUUUCCAGGCACAAGCAAUGAAAGAACAAGCUCAACUUCGAGAAGAGAUGGCUUACCAGUACAAGAUUGGAAACAUGGAGGUGAGGAUAAGUAACUGAGCUGUCUUGGUGUAAUCCUUAAAAGUCAUUUCUGGAUUUUUGUUUAUGGUAUUACCCCUCUUAUUUUCAGGCUGCCGCUGCUAUUCAGAGAAGGUUGGACCCUGAUGCUGCUGUGUGAAAAAGGUUCAGUCUAAUUCUAACAUUUAAUUCCAUUAUUCCCCUCGUUAUUCCCCUAGUUUAAGAAUCUUAAGUGCAUACAGAUUCAUAGUUAGACUGAACAACAAAGGGUAGCCUUCUGUAUCUGUUGUCCACUGUAGCCUAAUUGUCAUACAUUCUAGGUGUAAUAUUUCCUGUCGUUCGUUCUCCUGAGCGGUUUAGCCAUUUUUGCAGAUGUAUAGAAAAGGAUGUAUUUUGAUGACUGAUUUCGUAGCAAAUUGAUUGAUCAGGAAAGCCACCCAUCUCUUUUAUGCUUUUGAGAAAAGCCGAUAUUAUCAAGAGACCAUGUAUGCGGGAUCCAUCUGAAUUCGAGAGGUGGUUUUGUGUGUCUAGGUAGCGUUAGUGAAUGAAUAACAACAUAAUGUCUGUUUCAGAAAGGAACAAAUGUUAAAUUUCAGAUACAACAACAACAAAGCCUUUUCCAUUAAGUGGGGUCGUCUGUAUGAAUCAUAGAAUGUCAUUGUGGUCAGUUCUGUGCCACGUUUUCAGUUAGAUCCAAGAACUCCAAGUCUUUUCUUAGGGUCUCUUCCAAAGUCUUCCUAGGUCUUCCUCCCCUUCGGCCCUGAGUGUCUGUCUCGUAAUCGCAUCUUCUAACUAGAGAUCUGUAGACUUUCGUUUCACAUGUUCAAAUCACCGUAACCGAUUUUCUCACAUCUUUCCUUCAAUUUAGACUACUUCUACUUUACCUUGAAUAUCCUCAUUCAUAAUCUUAUCAUUUCUUGUGUACCCACACAUCCAAAUUUCAGAAAUAUUAUCCUGUGUAGAAUAUCUUGUGAAAUAUCACAAAACUUUAGUCGGGAAGAUAGUUGCGUCAGCAACAUAAUGGACUUGUUAUUAUAUUAUUAUUGAAUAAUAAAAAAUAAAAUUACAAUCUUGAUCUCUUCUCGGUAUGUAGCCAGGGCUGUAAGGCAUCGUUUGGUAUGCAGACGGGACGGGACAGGACGGGACGGAAGAGAAAGGGAGUAAAGAUGCCCUUGGAUAGAAACAAGGAGGAAGAAGGAGAUGAAGAGGUUAUAAUUUUGUGUUACACGGAUGUGGAACGAGUCAUUCCAAGGGAUGAGGCGGAACGAGUCAUUCCAAGGGAUGAGGCGGAACGAAAAUUCAUCUAAAAUUCAUUCAGUGGAACAGCGCGUUCCACCCGUUUUAGGCGCACCAAAUGUGGGACGGAACGUCUCGUCCCACUUUGUUCUGUCCCGUUCUAAGGUACCGUUUGGUACGUGGGACGGGACAAAAUGCAGUGGGACGAGGCGUUCUGUCCCACGUUUAGUGUGCCAAAAAACCAUGGAAUGCGUUGUCCCACGGGACGAAAUUUGGCUGAUUUUUCGUUCCGCCUCCCCCUUGCCUCUUGAACGACUCGUUCCACGUUCGUGGAACACAAAAUUUUAAAAUUUUAAGACAAAAAAGCCCCUCAUCUUUUUCAAUAUUUACACCAUCCAAAUCAUAGAACAAAACCCUAUCAUCUUCUUUCCCUCUUGUUUGUCGCUUGCAUCUCCCAGGUAUCUCGCAACCUUCCUCCUCAUCCUCUCAUGUAGCCUUUCUUUUCUCUUCCCCACGGAGUGGAACUUAAAGUUCUGCAUCUCCAGGUUCGAUCUCUGCAUUCAAUUCCAAUCUCAUUUUUUUUUCACAAUAUUAUCUAAUCCUACGCAAUCGAUAAUUUGGUUAUAAUCUGCCACCUUCUCCUUAAAACCUAGGUUUUGCUCUCAAAGUUUUGAUCUUUACAUUUUUCUGCUGUAACUUUUUUCUGGGUUUUGGUUUUUAAGGGGCUUGAAGGUUGAUUUGUUUGCUUUUGAGGUACUUCCUGUUGAUGUCAUUGGAUGAUAUGAUAUAAUGAAUGAUCUAGUUUGGUUUCGAUUCAUAAUCUAGGGUUUUGAAUUGGGAUUAAUUGUUCAAGUAAUUUUUAAUUCUGCCGAUUAUCUGUUUUUUGAGUGUUUAUGUGUAAUUAGCUUCUGUUUAUGGUGCUACGAAACUGCUCAAAUUAAUAAAUCAUUUUAAUUUGAUUUUUGUGUUGUGAUUUGAUUAGGUUUCAGUUUGGUAAUGACUAAUGAGCUUUUGCUUUGUUAGACUAAUGAAAUAGUCUUCAUUUUUUUUGAAAUUUUAAUUCGUUAGACUAAUUGGGUUUUCUUUGUGUGUUUAUUGUGCGAAGUGUUGGAUAAUGUUUGAUUAACUCUGGGAUUUUGUUUCCAUUUUGUUUUUCCUAUGGAAGAGUGAGGGUAUUUACUACUGAUUUGGAAUUGAAGAAGUAAACUUUAAACCUUUACAUGGUGUUGAAUUUCAAACCUCUAGCAUCUGCCAGAAGAAUUUCAUUAUCUUCGACCAGACUGAUCAUCAAAGUCAGAUUAUGUUUAAUCCUGAAAUUGCCCACAAAAUUAUUGGUCCUGCCUUUAACCUCUGUGCAGCUUACAUCCAAGACAAUUUGGGAUUGAUAGCUUGUUGAAAGUUUUCUGGUUUUUAAUUAAUUGGGGUUUUCUAGUGCUUAUUGUAAGGCAUAUGAUGCAUGGGUAAGUUAGUCAUUUAAUUUUUUGGUUUCGUUCUGUCCAGCGCGUACCAAACGCAGAACGGAACAACAGUCCCGUUCUGUCUUGCGCAUACCAAAGAUAACAUGGAACCUUCAUUCCAACGUGUCUUCUCUGCCUACCAAACGGUACCUAAAAGACUCAACCAAACUCGACCCAAACUCGGCACAACCUUGAGUUGUUUCAAGUUGAUUUACAGCUCUAUAUGUAAAAACUAAAAUGAGAAAAACAGAGUCAGAAUUUGAGGAGUCGACAGAUGAGCAUUUUUUUUUUAAUAAGCGGUAUUAUCUAUACUAAGAAGACGAGAAUUAGGUUAAGCCAUAUAAUGAACUAGUAAUAAUAUAAUUCAAAUUCACCUUUGGGGUGCACUCAAUUGGGAUCUUAAGAGAUUUUAAGGGAUUUAUAAAUUUAUGAAUUUUGCUGGAAUUUAUUUAUUUAUUUUUAUCUAUUUGAUGGAGUUUAAUUGAUUUGUAGAGAUUUAUAUAAAUUUUGAUUCAAUUCCCUCGAAAUCUCAGGGGAGAUGUAAGAUUUGUGAAUGCUUAAAAUACACUACAAAAUCUCUCAAAUAACCUCAAAUUCCUCUAAAAUCCUACUUUAAUACAUCGGAUUUUAAGUAUUUUAAUAACUAUCCUAAAAUCCUGAUUGAAUACAUUCAGAUAAUCAUAUAAAAUCGUAAUUAAAUGCCCUUAGAUUCAUUAAAAGAAUUAAAAUGGCUCAAAAUCCCAAUUAAAUACACCCGAUCUCCCCUAAACAUGUUUCUGAAGAUCUCGUCUAGAAAAAAAAAACAAUAAAGAUACAAGGAAAGUGGGGGGGGGGGGGGGGGGGGGGGGAGGGAACAUGAAACCUAACCCGCACUUAAAGGUCUAAACUUGCAAAACUGCAAAACAGAAUAAGUAACAUCACAAGGUUAAGAAAAAAAAAAAGUGAGAUAAACCUGUAUGACGAGAUGCACAUUAAUUUGAGAUGUGAAAACCAGGCAAUCCAACAUAACCUGAAAACAAAGCAGCACGAACUGCCAUUGAAGGGUAAGGUUUAUGUCCUUCCCUUCUUUUAAUGUAUUUUUUAUCCUUUUUUUUUCUUGUAUUAUGAGGGGUUAGGUUUAUAUCUCUCCUGAUUAGGUGUACCAUUUUUUUAAUAUCAAUAAAAUUUCUUUCGUCCCGUCGAGGUUUUAAAAAAUAAGCUUCUGAAGCUCCCGGAUAUUCCAACACUUCUCUAAGCCUCAUCUCUGCAUUUGGUGUUACUUAUUGGACAUGGACUGUAAUUUUUCGUAAGACUUGGGCAUGCGCUAAAAGGAACUCUACCACCGUCAACUCAUAUAACGCCCCUUCGAACCCCCAAAUCUCGAUUUCUUGAAGGCCAAGCACCAAGCAUUUAGGGGUCGAUCCUUCCGGCGUUUUGUACAAUAAUCCUCUAUGGGCACGGAAAUCUUUGCUAAUCUCCUGUCAUUCUUAAGAUGAGGUACUGCAGAUUAGGAGAGCUAUGUAGAAGCAACGCCAAUAUGUUCCAGCUCUCAUUAGUGCAGAAAAUGAGCUCCAAAUGCUUAAGGAAAGGAGACUUUAACCCGAAAUUUCUCAACCGGCCGGAUCCGCAGUGCAAUUUCUUCUACGUUGUCCAGAGUCCCGUGGGAAUAGCUGACAGCCUUGGCAUGUAAAACAUUCAAAAGAAAUGAACAUGGUUAGUACUAAACGCUAUGUAUUAUUUAAAUCAAAUAGUGAUGAACAGUAAUUAUGACUACAUUUUGAAAACUUGGAUCUCAUAUUCAGACAAGAAUCAAUCUAGUCGGUCUUCUAAAUUCAUGGUCCAAACACUUUUAUUCACGGGUUAUCUAAGUGAGUAAUUUUGUAACCCAAUUAACUCAUAUGAAUGUGAAUAACAUAAAGUUAACGAAAAGCAUAGAAGCUUACCCCUUUUGUACCUCCGGACAAUGAUAAGGACUUGACAUUGGAGAGCGCUUGAAGAAGCUCUAAUGCACGAUUUGAGUGAUUUACCUCGAAAUUAAGCUCAAGUUCACCAUAAUCUGCUGAAGUAUUUCUGAUACAAAUCUUUGCGUGAUCAAGAACCUCCAACUCCGCAGCGAUUUUAUACUUGGCCAGGAAGUCAUCUCAGAGCUCAAAGUUUUUAAGGUUCGGGCAAUCAACAUUCAAUCUUUAACCUCUUGAGUGUAUUUGAUUUCACCUUUAAAACCACUUCCCUUUUCUUGUUCAACAAGUCACCCUCUAUGAACAAAAUUUCAAGCACACGGCAGAUGUGGAAAGGCUUUUCGGCAGAACUAAUACCAUCUUCUCUAUAAACCUUUAUCUAGUAGGAAGAUCCGGCCGUAUGUUCCCAUUUAGUGUUAAUACGCGAAGCGAAGUGUUGACAUACAAAAUUUGAGGCAAUAUAUAGCCUGUAUAUUAGGAAACUCCAGCCGUACGUACCCAAUGUUUCAGUUAGAUUAUUCCUAAAUAAUCCGUAACCCUCUUUGUGAUUGUAGCCUAUAUUAUAGGAAUGUAAUUUUCAAUUCUACUAAGUGUAGGAUUCCUAUCUAAAUAAGAUUAAUAUAGCGCUAUAUAUAUUGUGUUAUUUUCACACAUUAAUACAAAAAGUCAGAAUUUACAGUUUCUAGCUCAACCGUGACAAAACCCCUAUAAAUUGACAGUCUUGUGCCAAUAGUGAACACAAAUACAAACUAUUAGAAAUACAUUAAGAAGAAUACUCAUGGGCAUUUCAAACAUGAAGUCAUGCAUCCUCUGUUUGCUCCUCGUUAGCAUGGUGGUGCUAAACUCCCAAGUCAAAGCUGAAAGGAACCGCAUCCACCCCGGAGUCCUCAACCCAUGCAAAAGACCAGGAGGGCCACAUCCUGGUUGUAACGGUGACGUCAAAAGUCCACCCCAACCCGCGAACCCCUAUAACCGCGGUUGCUCGAUGAUUCUUCGGUGUCGCCGUGGUCAUGAUAAGGUUCAUAAUCACAAGGGUUAGUGACGAUGAAGAAACUGAGUUGGGUGGAUGAAGAUUGUGGGAAUACAUUUAAUUAUUUAUGUUGCAACUAUUACCUACUUUGUUUCUAUUCUAUAGUGAGAGUAAGGGUGAUAAAUCUUUUAGGGUAUAUUACUAUUAUGUGUAUUCUAUAACAAAAUAUUGAUCAAAGUAUUUUAAUUUUUUACAUUGCCAGUUAGAUUUUUUUUUUAUAAAUUAUUUAUUACGCUAACCUAAUUACUUAGUCCAAUUGUGCAUGAUCUUUUUUAUUGAGCAAUUAUAUAUUCGAAAUUACCCCAAUAUAUGUCGUUGGGCUAAGGUGGAGGAGGAAAACGGUGGAGGAUGACAUUGAUCAAUUAAGGAUGAAAAUAUGGACUUCUAGAAAGUAGAAACGUAAGGGACCAUUUAAUGAUAAAACCUUAUUACAAAUUCUACUUUUUAUGCGUUUACUAAUUCAUAUGGAAUUAAAAGGGACCAAUCGUGUUCCUCAGUCUGUAGCAAUUCAUUCACCAAAGUUGGAGUACCUCCUUAAACAAUCUCUCAAAAUUAUUGUACGAUGAUCCUCCAACAUCAGUAGCUUCAACAGCUUUUUUCUUCCAUUCCUUUGCCUUUUCCCUCGUCUUUAUCCCUCCUUCACCUUCCAUCAUUUCCUUAACAAGUGCUUCUAUUUCAUUGCGCUUCACAUCGGGGCUCACCUCCAUUCCAAUCUCCCAUGUUGUGCAUGAGUACCGACAAUUUGUUUGUUGCUCCGCGAAGAAAGGCCAGCAAAUUACAGGCACACCGUGAGAUAUACUUUCAAUGGUAGAAUUCCAACCACUGUGUGUUAGGAAAACCCCAACAGAUGGAUGAGCUAACACUUGGUCCUGUGCACACCAACCUGCAAUAUAACCCCUAUCCUUAAUCUCCUCAAAAAAUUCAUCAGGUAAAAUUGGUGAGUUACCCUUUACCACGUCAGCCCUAACUAUCCAUAAAAAUGGGUGCUUGCUAUUUGCCAGCCCCCAUGCAAACUCAAUCAAAUGUUGGUCUGUCAUCAUCGUUAUGCUGCCAUAAUUUACGUACACAACUGAAUUGGGUUUCUUUUUAUCAAGCCAUUCCGAACAUUUUGCGUCUUCUUUCCAUGCUUGAGUUAAGUGACUUGCUUUCAGGGAAAUGCCUGCCUAGCAAAUUAAAGGGGCCAAUGGUGUAAAUGUUGGGAAACAUUAUCGAUAUUACCUCUAACACUUCAUGUUCAAAUUCAUCAAAUGUGUUGAAGAGGAUUGCAGAAGAGUUCAAACAACUUCGUGCUUCGGAUCCCAAGUAAUUAAACAUUAUGUCGCUGAGAUCAGUAACUCUAAUGAAACUCGGGAUGUCCUUGAGUCGAACAUUUUUCAUGCCUGGGAUCCAAUCAAUUGGUGUAUCGAGUGUGCCAUCAUGCAUGAAAUUCUCAUCUGAAAUCCAUGAAAGGUGAAGCAUGUGUGAUGAUAUUUAAUUAUGUCCAUGGUUAUAAGAGUACAUUUCAAGAUCUCAAAUAUCUACUUUAUUUUGCAGUUGAUAAAAAAAAAAAAAUUUAAUAGAAAAGUCUAAUUCCAUAUAACAAAUCCAAAAGAUCAAAAUGCAAAUUUCUCUCUCUUUCACAUCUUUAAUUACAAACGCUUGUAGUGGAACAAAAUUAAACCCCUUGAUAUACUUUGAUGUGAUGUUGGACUAGAUCCAAUGACACAGGAAAGACUAAAAAGUAAAAACUGGGUUAUCUUAUCAUUUGGACAUGCUGGAGUGCUGUGAGAGGGCAAGAGGGGAACAAUGGAAACUAAAGGGUCAAAUAUGUCAUGAUAAUUUAUGUAAACGAGGGAAUAUAUACUUGGAAGGGAUGUGCAUGAUUUAAUUCAUGUGUGUCAUGAUAAUUUAUGCAUACAAAAAUGUUCAUAUACAUAAUAAAGAAACUGAUUAAUUAUAUAUGUGACCAAAGCGUAAAAAAAAAAAAAAAAACAUCCAGAAAUUAAAGAAGUACCUUUGAACGGAAUCAUGCCACGUUUGACGAGUUCGUUAUAUUGCAAGUACCCCAUGAAGCCACAAGCAGAUGCAGUCCAUAACACAACCUCCGGAAUGCCUAAUUCUCUAGCAGCUUUGCACCCAAAGGUCAUGACACCAUCUGCAACUAUGCAAGUAACUUGUGGCACUUGAGAUGAGGAUUUAAUCUUAGCCACCAGCUCUUUAAAUGGACCAAAACAAGUUUUCUUAAUGGAGUCACAUAAAGCUGGAAUAUCUUGGGUACCAUCCUUAACGGAGUCGGGACCUUUUGACCGGAUUAAACGGUUGUGGUUGAACUCGGUGUUGACAAAGGUUAUGUGGAAGCCCCUUGAGUGAAGAAACUUGGCUAACUGCAUCAUGGGGUUAACAUGGCCUUGUGCUGGGUAUGGGACAAAAACUGCAUGCCCUUUUUUGGUUGUUUGUUCUACUGAACUCAUCAUCUCUCUUUCGUAUUUGCC
rnacentral:lncRNA from 1 species